GGACUACAGGGGUAUCUAAUCCUGUUUGCUCCCCUAGCUUUCGCGCCUCAGCGUCAGUUAUAGCCCAGAAAACCGUCUUCACCACUGGUGUUCUUCCACAUAUCUACGCAUUUCACCGCUACACGUGGAAUUCCGUUUUCCCUAACUACACUCAAGCUUGGCAGUUUCGGAUGCAGUUCCAUGGUUGAGCCAUGGAUUUUCACAUUCGACUUACCUAGCCGCCUACGCGCCCUUUACGCCCAGUAAUUCCGAUCAAUGCUUGCACCCUCCGUAUUACCGCGGCUGCUGGCAC
rnacentral:rRNA from 1 species